UGCGGUUAAGGGAAGCUGAAGCCUUUUCCCUAAGGACAGGACAGGGUACGGUGUGAUUUGAAUAACACGUAAAUAGGACAAAUCGUUGUUUUUUUUUUUUUACUUGGCAGAAAACAACAACAAAAACAACAUCCAGUUUCGUAUCCAAUAACAGGAUCGACUUUUAGUUCUUGGCAUGAAGAGUGAGACAGAAACAGUGAGUGUGCUGUAGAGCGGUACUACACGUGACUGCUGCUCAUGCUUAGCUAGUCUUCACAAGUCCCAGGAGACGACAAAUGUGCUGGUGAGCAUUCACAAAGCACAUUCUGCACAUUACAGCAGGGAAAGGAGGUCAGACCAGCUCACGAAGCCUGAAAUAACAGCCUUUUCAUCACAAUUGGUGUCCAUUUGCAGGAGCUCGUCCCGAAUAACCCUAUUACCCUACAAACAGAGCGACAGACUGGACAUCAUGUUCAGACCUGAUCAUUCAAGGGGUCAGCGUCAAGUAGUCGGCAGAGCAAAGCGAACACCUGCAGACCUGGGAAUAUGGAUGCAUCGAGGCAUGACGAGAGAAACACCCACCGAUUCUGUCUAACGUGCCGUUAUAAAUAAAACAUGCAAGACAGCUAUGGCAACCUGAGCAGACUAUAAAGUCUGCAGAAGAGUCAUAGACACUAGAGAACCAUCUGAAAUUUUCUACUCGGACGCACCGCUUUGAAAAAGACUCGGAGGACAAGGGCAAGCAAAUUCAUUCAG